GUAAGUACGAAUAAUUUCAAACACUACUUGUUUUUAUUGUGAAUCACGUUUUGUGGCUUAAAACCUAAGAAGGCAGAAAAAAAAAACACUAAACAAGGUGCUUCAAAUGGCUUGAGUCUAGUUGGAGAGACCUAACCAACUACUGCUACUACCAACUUUUACUUUAGUUGCAGACGUGUUUUCAAACUGAUCGCUACGUUUUAACGGAUACUAUUCGCUUUAAUUGAAUUUUGUUUUUAUUGAAAAAAAUCAAGUGUAACGUUUAAAUUUUAAAUCUUCAAAAAAUAAAGAAAUAAUUUUUUAUUUAAAUUAAAUAAAGUGUUUUUUGUGUGACUAUAUUUGUGUAACAUAAACAUCACCCCACAACAAUAUCUUCAACUUAUUUAUCAACGUCUUUACUAGACCGUAUAAA